AGACAGAUUUCUUGAGAAUCUUAUUAAAAUGUAGAUUCUGAUUCAAUAGGUCUGCAGAGGAGCCUGAGAUUCUGCAUUUCUAACAAGUUCCUAAGUGAUACCAAG
rnacentral:pre_miRNA from 1 species